GACGAACGCUGGCGGCGUGCCUAAUACAUGCAAGUCGAGCGAAUGACGAGAAGCUUGCUUCUCUGAUUUAGCGGCGGACGGGUGAGUAACACGUGGGCAACCUGCCCUACAGAUUGGGAUAACUCAGGGAAACCUGGGCUAAUACCGGAUAAUCCUUCGAAUCACAUGUUUUGAAGUUGAAAGGCGCUUCGGCGUCACUGUAGGAUGGGCCCGCGGUGCAUUAGCUAGUUGGUGGGGUAACGGCCUACCAAGGCAACGAUGCAUAGCCGACCUGAGAGGGUGAUCGGCCACAUUGGGACUGAGGCACGGCCCAAACUCCUACGGGAGGCAGCAGUAGGGAAUCUUCCACAAUGGACGAAAGUCUGAUGGAGCAACGCCGCGUGAGUGAUGAAGGUUUUCGGAUCGUAAAACUCUGUUGUAAGGGAAGAACAAGUACGUUAGGAAAUGAACGUACCUUGACGGUACCUUAUCAGAAAGCCACGGCUAACUACGUACCAGCCGCCGCGGUAA
rnacentral:rRNA from 1 species